rnacentral:rRNA from 1 species
AAUGAACGCUGGCGGCAGGCCUAACACAUGCAAGUCGAACGAGGUAGCAAUACCUAGUGGCGGACGGGUGAGUAACACGUGGAACGUACCCUUUGCUACGGAAUAGCCCCUGGGAAACUGGGAGUAAUACCGUAUGAGCCCGAGAGGGAAAGAUUUAUCGGCAAAGGAUCGGCCCACGUUGGAUUAGGUAGUUGGUGGGGUAAUGGCCUACCAAGCCGACGAUCCAUAGCUGGUUUGAGAGGAUGAUCAGCCACACUGGGACUGAGACACGGCCCAGACUCCUACGGGAGGCAGCAGUGGGGAAUCUUAGACAAUGGGGGAAACCCUGAUCUAGCCAUGCCGCGUGAUCGAUGAAGGCCUUAGGGUUGUAAAGAUCUUUCAGGUGGGAAGAUAAUGACUGUACCACCAGAAGAAG